UACGGAGGGUGCGAGCGUUGUCCGGAAUCACUGGGCGUAAAGGGCGCGUAGGCGGCGCGGGGAGUCAACGGUGAAAGCUCGGCGCUCAACGCCGAGUCGGCCGUCGAUACUCCCGUGCUCGAGCACUGUAGAGGCAGGUGGAAUUCCGGGUGUAGCGGUGGAAUGCGUAGAGAUCCGGAAGAACACCGGUGGCGAAGGCGGUUAGCUGGGCAGUUGCUGACACUGAGGCGCGACAGCGUGGGGAGCAAACAGG
rnacentral:rRNA from 1 species